rnacentral:rRNA from 1 species
UAGAUUUUAUUAAUUAAUAUUAAUUUUUUUAUUUGGGUAUUUUAUAAAAAUAAUUUAAUUAUUUAUUGUUUUAGUAUUAUUUAAGAAUUAAUUUUUAGUUUUAUAGUUUAUUAGUAUUGUGAAAGAUAUUACUUAUAUUUAAUAAAGAAUUUUUUUAGUACCUUUUGUAUCAGGGUUAAUUAAAAUUUUUAAUUUAUUUUAAUAUCUCAAAAUUUAUAGAGUUAAUUUUAUUAUUAAGUUAUUGUAUUAAAAAUAAUUAAAAAAUAAUUUUAGUUUUGAAAUUUAAUUCGUUAUAUUAUAUUUAGUUAUUUAAGAUUUAAAUUUAAUUUAAAAAUUUAAUAGUUAAUUUAAUUUUUUUAAUUUAUAUUUUAAAUUUAUAGUAUUUUAGGGAUAAGCUUGAAAUUUUAAUAAAAUGUUUAUUUAAAUUUAAUAAUUUAUAGGAAUAGAAAUUUUUAUUUAAAGUUUGUAAAAAUUUAUUAUUUGUUUAUAUUUAAUUUAUUAUAAUUUGUUUAUUUUUAAUAUUAAAUUUUAUAAGUUAAUAUUUUAUUUAUAGUAAUAAUGAUUAAAUUACUAUAUUUAAUAUUUAAAAAUUAUGAAUUCGGCAAAAUUUAUUUUCAUCUGUUUAACAAAAACAUAGUAUUAAGUUUAAUUUAAUAUAGGACCUGCUCAAUGAUUAAAUUAAAUAGCUGCAGUAUUUUGACUGUGCAAAGGUAGCAUAAUAAUUAGUCUUUUAAUUGUGGACUAGAAUGAAAGAUUUGAUGAGAAAUAAACUUUAUUAUUUAUAUAAUUAGAAUUUUAUUUUUAAGUAAAAAAGCUUAAAUAAUUUAAAGGGACGAUAAGACCCUAUAAAACUUUAUAAUAAAUAAUUUUUAAUUUAUUGGGAUUUUGUUAUUUGAUAUAAAAGUUUAAAUUUUAUUUAUUAUUUUAUUGGGGUGAUAAAAAAAAUUAAUUAACUUUUUUUAAAAUUAAACAUUUAUUAAUGAUUAUUUGAAUUAAAAUUUUUAGUUAAAGGAAAAAGUUACUUUAGGGAUAACAGCGUAAUUAAAUUUUUAAGUUCAAAUUUAAAAUUUAGUUUGCGACCUCGAUGUUGAAUUAAGAUUAAUCUUAGGUGCAAAAUUUUAAGUAUUAGGUCUGUUCGACCUUUAAAUUCUUACAUGAUUUGAGUUCAAACCGGUGUGAGCCAGGUUGGUUUCUAUCUUUUAGUAUUUAACUUAUUUUAGUACGAAAGGAUUUAAUAAGUGAAUUAAAUUUAUUUAAAUGAGUUUAAUUAAUUUA